rnacentral:rRNA from 1 species
UGGGGAAUCUUGCGCAAUGGGCGAAAGCCUGACGCAGCGACGCCGCGUGAGUGAUGAAGGCCUUCGGGUUGUAAAGCUCUGUGGAGGGAGACGAAUAAGGCGUGGCGAAUACCCACGUUGAUGACUGUAUCCCUUUAGCAAGCACCGGCUAACUCUGUGCCAGCAGCCGCGGUAAGACAGAGGGUGCAAACGUUGUUCGGAAUUACUGGGCGUAAAGCGCGUGUAGGCGGCUUGGCAAGUCGGGUGUGAAAGCCCUGGGCUCAACCUAGGAAGUGCACUCGAAACUGCCUCGCUAGAGUGUCGGAGAGGGUAGUGGAAUUCUCGGUGUAGAGGUGAAAUUCGUAGAUAUCGAGAGGAACACCGGUGGCGAAGGCGGCUACCUGGACGACGACUGACGCUG